rnacentral:tRNA from 1 species
GAGACACUAGUAAAAUAGUCAAUUACAUUGCCUUGUCAUGGCAAAGUUAGGGGUUAAAGACCCCUGUGUCUUA